AUAAUCACCUGAGCUGAGAUCAAGAGUCAGACACUUAACCAACUGAGCCACUCAGGCACCCCUACAUCUAUUACAUUUUGAAGGAAUUAGGAUCAAAACUUUUUUUAAUAUUUUUUUAUUUAAAAUCAGUUCAUUCUCGCAUGCCAUUCAAAAUUGCUGAAAAUAUUUUUGCUGAAAAUAUUUAAGGGGAUUGCAUUUCCAAAAAAGCUGGAAGAGACUGCUAUUAAUUAAUUAAUUCAUCCCUGUUAUAGGAGGUUUGGGUUAGUUUCAAUUUCUCACUUUUAUAGGUUAUUAUGAAUGAUUCUGCAGUCAACAUACAAGUGCUAGUUUAUGAAACUAGUCUUGAAUGCCUUCAGUUUUAUCUCCUAAGCUCUAUAACAUGGAAAUGUUUGUUUUGCAUCUUGUGUCUCCCAUUGCAGAAAACUUGGCGAUGCAGGAAAUUGCCAUUUAGACAGAAAUACCAUGGCACUGACUGAGUGCUUGAUUAGUUCAGAUGGCUUGGAACCAUUUGGGUAACUCUCCUAGGAGGGACACUUAUUCCUUUAUCCCUCCACAUUGCUGUGACCUGUGCGGUUUACAUGCUGGAAAUCUGGACCAGAAAAAACAAUCGAAUUGAUCGCCAGCUGCAGCAGCCGAGGGCCGACAGGAGCACCUGGCACGGGACCAGCCCUCCAUACAAGCUUGCUGAAUGACGAGUGAACAGAUAAUUAUUCUGGACCACAUUAGUGGUCGAAUCCCAGAAUGUGUCUGGACACACAAAUAAAUACCACCUACCACUCAUGACUGACAGUACUUUGCCCUUCCGAAGUACAAGCUCAGGCAGAUCUGCAAGUCCUUUCAAGGUCAAGGCUUUCCUGAAAGGAAAGAUUAAAACUCAGAACAAACCAACCCACAUGUCUUCGUAAAUCAUUUCCCAACAAAUGCUCUGCCCACAGUUCCCUUUCCUGGGGCCAGCUAUUGUCUGAAGGCAUAACUCCUAACGGCAUAAAUUCUGCAAAGCUGAACACAGUGGCAUGCUUUAUAAAAUACCAGCCAGCGACAGAAAAAUAUCCUCAUCCUUACAAUCAUCUAUAAAUGCAGGGUUCCCACCCCCCACCCCCCCCCCCCCCCCCCCCCCGCAGCCCAGCCAGUAUUUUAGAAACCUGAGAAUAGAUGACUGUAAUUCAUUUUGUUUGAAUGACACUAAAUUUCUUCUGUGGCCACUUAAGUGUCUUUAAGCCCUAAGAUACUGGCAUUAAUCUUAAUAAAGGGAAGAACCUUGGAUCUCUAUCCUA